rnacentral:rRNA from 1 species
AGAGUUUGAUCCUGGCUCAGAUUGAACGCUGGCGGCAUGCCUUACACAUGCAAGUCGAACGGUAACAGGUCUUCGGAUGCUGACGAGUGGCGAACGGGUGAGUAAUACAUCGGAACGUGCCCAGUAAUGGGGGAUAGCUCGGCGAAAGCCGGAUUAAUACCGCAUACGCCCUGAGGGGGAAAGUGGGGGAUCGCAAGACCUCACGUUAUUGGAGCGGCCGAUGGCUGAUUAGCUAGUUGGUAGGGUAAAGGCCUACCAAGGCGACGAUCAGUAGCUGGUCUGAGAGGACGAUCAGCCACACUGGGACUGAGACACGGCCCAGACUCCUACGGGAGGCAGCAGUGGGGAAUUUUGGACAAUGGGGGAAACCCUGAUCCAGCAAUGCCGCGUGUGCGAAGAAGGCCUUCGGGUUGUAAAGCACUUUUGUCAUGGAAGAAAUCCUUUGGGCUAAUACCCUAGGGGGAUGACGGUACCUGAAGAAUAAGCACCGGCUAACUACGUGCCAGCAGCCGCGGUAAUACGUAGGGUGCAAGCGUUAAUCGGAAUUACUGGGCGUAAAGCGUGCGCAGGCGGUUGUGUAAGACAGGUGUGAAAUCCCCGGGCUUAACCUGGGAAUUGCAUUUGUGACUGCACGACUAGAGUGUGUCAGAGGGGGGUGGAAUUCCACGUGUAGCAGUGAAAUGCGUAGAUAUGUGGAGGAACACCAAUGGCGAAGGCAGCCCCCUGGGAUAACACUGACGCUCAUGCACGAAAGCGUGGGGAGCAAACAGGAUUAGAUACCCUGGUAGUCCACGCCCUAAACGAUGUCAACUAGUUGUUGGGGAUUUACUUCCUUGGUAACGUAGCUAACGCGUGAAGUUGACCGCCUGGGGAGUACGGCCGCAAGGUUAAAACUCAAAGGAAUUGACGGGGACCCGCACAAGCGGUGGAUGAUGUGGAUUAAUUCGAUGCAACGCGAAAAACCUUUACCUACCCUUGACAUGGCAGGAACUUUUCCAGAGAUGGGAUUGGUGCUCGAAAGAGAACCUGCACACACGUGCUGCAUGGAUGUCGUUCAGCUCGAUGUCAUGGAAGAUGCUUUGGGGCUUUAG